AGAGUUUGAUCCUGGCUCAGGACGAACGCUGGCGGCGCGCCUAACACAUGCAAGUCGAACGAGCGAGAGAGAGCUUGCUUUCUCGAGCGAGUGGCGAACGGGUGAGUAACGCGUGAGGAACCUGCCUCAAAGAGGGGGACAACAGUUGGAAACGACUGCUAAUACCGCAUAAGCCCACGACCCGGCAUCGGGUAGAGGGAAAAGGAGCAAUCCGCUUUGAGAUGGCCUCGCGUCCGAUUAGCUAGUUGGUGAGGUAACGGCCCACCAAGGCGACGAUCGGUAGCCGGACUGAGAGGUUGAACGGCCACAUUGGGACUGAGACACGGCCCAGACUCCUACGGGAGGCAGCAGUGGGGAAUAUUGCACAAUGGGGGAAACCCUGAUGCAGCGACGCCGCGUGGAGGAAGAAGGUCUUCGGAUUGUAAACUCCUGUUGUUGAGGAAGAUAAUGACGGUACUCAACAAGGAAGUGACGGCUAACUACGUGCCAGCAGCCGCGGUAAAACGUAGGUCACAAGCGUUGUCCGGAAUUACUGGGUGUAAAGGGAGCGCAGGCGGGAAGACAAGUUGGAAGUGAAAUCCAUGGGCUCAACCCAUGAACUGCUUUCAAAACUGUUUUUCUUGAGUAGUGCAGAGGUAGGCGGAAUUCCCGGUGUAGCGGUGGAAUGCGUAGAUAUCGGGAGGAACACCAGUGGCGAAGGCGGCCUACUGGGCACCAACUGACGCUGAGGCUCGAAAGUGUGGGUAGCAAACAGGAUUAGAUACCCUGGUAGUCCACACCGUAAACGAUGAUUACUAGGUGUUGGAGGAUUGACCCCUUCAGUGCCGCAGUUAACACAAUAAGUAAUCCACCUGGGGAGUACGACCGCAAGGUUGAAACUCAAAGGAAUUGACGGGGGCCCGCACAAGCAGUGGAGUAUGUGGUUUAAUUCGAAGCAACGCGAAGAACCUUACCAGGGCUUGACA
rnacentral:rRNA from 1 species